GAUGAACGCUAGCUACAGGCUUAACACAUGCAAGUCGAGGGACCGGCGCACGGGUGAGUAACACGUAUCCCCCCUGCCCUUUCCUCGGUUAUAGCCUUUCGAAAGACAGAUUAAUCCCCUAUAUAAAGGAUGGGUAUGCGUUCCAUUCGGUUGUUGGUGCGGUAACGGCUCACCAAGCCUUCGAUGGAUAGGCGUUCUGAGAGGAAGGUCCCCCACAUUGGAACGGGGACACGGACCAAACACCUACGAGAGGCAGCAGUGAGGAAGAUGGGUCAAUGGGCGGGAGCCUGAACCAGCCAAGGAGCGUGAAGGAUGAAGGCUUAUGGGGCGGAAAAUUCUUUUAGAGAAGAAUAGGUAUUAUAUGAAUAAGGAUCGGCUAACUCCGUGCCAGCAGCCGCGGUAAUUC
rnacentral:rRNA from 1 species